UACGGGGGGUGCGAGCGUUGUCCGGAAUCACUGGGCGUAAAGGGCGCGUAGGUGGCUUUGUAAGUUUGCGGUGAAAGCCCGGGCUCAACCCCGGGUCUGCCGUGGAUACUGCAAGGCUUGAGUACUGUAGAGGCAGGUAGAAUAUCGGGUGUAGCGGUGGAAUGCGUAGAGAUCCGAUAGAAGACCGGUGGCGAAGGCGGCCUGCUGGGCAGUAACUGACACUGAGGCGCGACAGCGUGGGGAGCAAACAGG
rnacentral:rRNA from 1 species